rnacentral:rRNA from 1 species
UGGGGAAUAUUGGACAAUGGGGGCAACCCUGAUCCAGCAAUGCCGCGUGUGUGAUGAAGGCCUUAGGGUUGUAAAACACUUUCAACGGUGAAGAUGAUGACGGUAGCCGUAGAAGAAGCCCCGGCUAACUUCGUGCCAGCAGCCGCGGUAAUACGAAGGGGGCGAGCGUUGUUCGGAAUUACUGGGCGUAAAGGGCGCGCAGGCGGCCUAUCCAGUCAGGUGUGAAAGCCCCGAGCUCAACUUGGGAACUGCACUUGAUACUGAUAGGCUAGAAAACGGAAGAGGGCAGUGGAAUUCCCAGUGUAGAGGUGAAAUUCGUAGAUAUUGGGAAGAACACCAGUGGCGAAAGCGGCUGCCUGGUCCGAUUUUGACGCUGAGGCGCGAAAGCGUGGGUAGCAAACAGG